UGGGAUACCACUUGGAAACAGGUGCUAAUACCGGAUAAGAAAGCGGAUCGCAUGAUCAGCUUUUAAAAGGCGGCGUAAGCUGUCGCUAUGGGAUGGCCCCGCGGUGCAUUAGCUAGUUGGUAAGGUAAAGGCUUACCAAGGCGAUGAUGCAUAGCCGAGUUGAGAGACUGAUCGGCCACAUUGGGACUGAGACACGGCCCAAACUCCUACGGGAGGCAGCAGAA
rnacentral:rRNA from 1 species